AGCGGGUCGCCGCGUGCCGGCCGG
rnacentral:siRNA from 1 species